rnacentral:rRNA from 1 species
AACGAACGCUGGCGGCAUGCCUAACACAUGCAAGUCGAACGAGAUCUUCGGGUCUAGUGGCGCACGGGUGCGUAACGCGUGGGAAUCUGCCCUUUGGUUCGGAAUAACAGUUGGAAACGACUGCUAAUACCGGAUGAUGACGGAAGUCCAAAGAUUUAUCGCCAGAGGAUGAGCCCGCGUAGGAUUAGCUAGUUGGUGUGGUAAAGGCGCACCAAGGCGACGAUCCUUAGCUGGUCUGAGAGGAUAAUCAGCCACACUGGGACUGAGACACGGCCCAGACUCCUACGGGAGGCAGCAGUGGGGAAUAUUGGACAAUGGGCGAAAGCCUGAUCCAGCAAUGCCGCGUGAGUGAUGAAGGCCUUAGGGUUGUAAAGCUCUUUUACCCGGGAUGAUAAUGACAGUACCGGGAGAAUAAGCUCCGGCUAACUCCGUGCCAGCCGCCGCUGUAA